ACAUUCAUACAACAUAGAUUUAAUGCAUCGGAUCCCAUUAGAACUCUGAAGUUAAGCACGCUCAUGCUAGAGUAGUACUGGGAUGGGUGAUCGCCUGGGAAGUCCUAGUGUUUUACAUGCC
rnacentral:rRNA from 1 species